rnacentral:lncRNA from 1 species
CAAAGGAUUAUUGUCGUGUAGCCUUUCUCAUGUGCAGAUUUCAUUCCUCUCACACAAGCCAAACCUUGUGCAUUUCAAUUAAUAUAUAUCAAUGCAAAAUCAAAAUGGUUUGUUUGCUAAAAAGAUCUUGAUAACAACGCCCUUAAAGUCUGGAACACCUCCAAGUCCGAUAGAAACUAUCUUGGUCAAUAGAUGCACUAGAGUUGAAUUUGAUCCAUCCAACCCAAACAAAGAUAUUUCUUCUACAACAUUUAAAAAAAAAAGAGAAAAAAAGAAUUAGGGCAAGAGUAUUGAAAUUAACUGAGGUUGGGCUGCAUUAGAUAUGGGCUUAUUCAGUUUAAUGAAUUCUGUGAUGGGUUUGAGAUAGACCCAACCUAAUAAAAGGCGCAAAAUCUGAUCAUUUUCACUGUCUGUCCGCUUCGUUAUAGUCAGUAGAGUGUGACACUUAAUUUCCAAAAGUAAAAUGAUAUUGAGAUUAUUAUCAUCGGUGAAC